GAAAGUUUUAUUUUUGCUUUAUAUUAGGUAAUUUUAUUUUUUAAAUAUAUUUUUGUUGAUUAAUUGAUUGUAUUAUAUAAAUUUAUUUAAACUAAAAAUUUAGGUGAAAGAAAUAAAAAUUAAAAGUAGCUAAAAUUGUGCCAGCAGCUGCGGUUAAACAAUUGUUUUAAUUUAAUAUAAUUUAAAUUUUAAGAAUUUGAUUAAAAAUAUAAAAUAUUUAUUUUAAGUGAAAUUUAAUAAAUAAAAGUUUAAUUGUUAAUUAAUUAAUUAAAAAAAAUAAGGUAGUCAAACCAGGAUUAGAUACCCUGUUAUGAUUUAUAAAAAUAAAAAUUUAGAGUAGUAAAUGUUAAGUUCAGGAAACUCAAAAAAUUUGGCGGUGUUUAUUCUGAAUAGAGGAAUAUGUUUCUAAUCGAUAAUACACGUUUAUUCGACUUAUUUUAAUUUAUUUUGUAUACUUCCGUCUUAAAAAAUUUUUUUAAAAUAAAUUUUAUAAUUUUUUAAUAAAAAAAGUCAGGUCAAAGUGCAGAUUAUAAAUAAGAAAAAAUGUAUUACAAUAAAUUUAUUUAUGGAAAUUUAAUGAAAAAAUAUGAAAAAUUGGAUUUAUAAGUAAAUUAGAUUUUAUAAAGUUUAAUUGAAAAAGUUAAUAAGCAUGUACAUAUUGCCCGUCAUUCUCUUUAAGAGACAAGUCGUAACAAAGUAGAUUUACUGGAAAGUGAAUCUGGAUUCAA
rnacentral:ncRNA from 1 species